rnacentral:rRNA from 1 species
AUUGAACGCUGGCGGCAGGCCUAACACAUGCAAGUCGAGCGGAUGAAGGGAGCUUGCUCCUGGAUUCAGCGGCGGACGGGUGAGUAAUGCCUAGGAAUCUGCCUGGUAGUGGGGGAUAACGUCCGGAAACGGGCGCUAAUACCGCAUACGUCCUGAGGGAGAAAGUGGGGGAUCUUCGGACCUCACGCUAUCAGAUGAGCCUAGGUCGGAUUAGCUAGUUGGUGGGGUAAAGGCCUACCAAGGCGACGAUCCGUAACUGGUCUGAGAGGAUGAUCAGUCACACUGGAACUGAGACACGGUCCAGACUCCUACGGGAGGCAGCAGUGGGGAAUAUUGGACAAAGGGCGAAAGCCUGAUCCAGCCAUGCCGCGUGUGUGAAGUAGGUCUUCGGAUUGUAAAGCACUUUAAGUUGGGAGGAAGGGCAGUAAGUUAAUACCUUGCUGUUUUGACGUUACCAACAGAAUAAGCACCGGCUAACUUCGUG